rnacentral:rRNA from 1 species
AAGAUGAGCAUGCGUCCCAUUAGUUAGUUGUAAGGUAACGGCUUACCAAGACAAUGAUGGGUAGGGGUCCUGAGAGGGAGAUCCCCCACACUGGUACUGAGACACGGACCAGACUCCCUACGGGAGGCAGCAGUGAGGAAUAUUGGACAAUGGGCGCAAGCCUGAUCCAGCCAUGCCGCGUGCAGGAUGACGGUCCUAUGGAUUGUAAACUGCUUUUAUACAGGAAGAAACACUCCGACGUGUCGGAGCUUGACGGUACUGUAAGAAUAAGGAUCGGCUAACUCCGUG